GCACUAAUGGGGUAGUGGUAACCUCAGUCGUUGCCACCAGUUCAACGGCUUUCGGAUUCGACUGGCCGCGAGUUCGAUUCUCCCUUAGUGCA